CUGAGAAACUCACAUUGGCGGGAAAAUUUGGGCCAGGAACGCCCGCGGGAGCUAAUAGUCGCUGGGUGGCCACUAUCAAGUCGCCUUUCUUGGAUCCUCAGAGAAGUUACCUGUGAGCUGUAGAUUCCUGUCAGUUUCUCACCGGCCCGGCCGGAUGCACCCGAGAUUCCUGGUGUACUGCUCAGCCUCUCAUUCAGCGUCCACAGAGAUUUGUGGUGUUGGGUAGCGAGAAGAACAGGACUGCAAAAAAAGACCACAAAUAAUGGUCCAUUUCUUCGUGUCAACGGUACUCUUCCUGGAGUAUCUUGUUUCUGGACAUGAUUUUCUUUCUACUUUGGAAUCCUUUUCCUUACUCCUUAUUUUCCAGGCGUUGUUGUCACUGAUCACUAUCAUUAUUAUCAGACUUUAAACUUUUUGAGGGCAUUAAUGUCUUUGCCGUCAAAACCAAGCACGAUGCCUGAAAGAAUAGGCAACUGAGGGACAUCUUCUUCCGAAAUAGGUAUUUUCCUUUUUGCGAACAUCUUUUAGUAAAUUCUCAGAGAAAAUAGUUUAGGAUAGCUCUACAAACAGCUGCCAACCUAAAAUUUACUGACUGCCAAUGAUGAGUUCUUUUCUUUACGAAGAAGAAAGGAUGAGUACCUAGACUCAGGCCUGAUGACUCCAGUAUUCCUUUACCACAUUUAGAGCUCAAGAAUCUGGAAUCAAGUGAGUGAAUUUGGCAGCCCCUUGUAUCCAGGUGGCAAUUAACACCUUGGAGAGAAAUAAAAUCACCUCACCACCACCCCUGUCCCCAACCAGAAAGAAACGUGCAUUUUCUCUUCCUUAAGGAGAACUCAGACUAAUACACCCAGUUAACAUCUUGCAAAAUUAAGGAAUCAGAACUGGAGAGAAUAAAUCAUCAGUGCCAUCAUCAUCAGUGAGAGCAGAAGCUGAAAGACUUGGAGAGAAGUCAGUGUUGAGACUUCAUGAGUAAGUAGAAACUAGAAAUAAGCAAGAGCUCUGAGCAAACAAAACCCAUGAGGCAGCAAAAAGAUAAACAGAGUAAUGACAGAAGUGAUAGAAGAUAACUAAGAAAGCAUCAGAUUCUCAGGAAAUAGAGUCAGUGGCCCUGCCUGGGUCACAGGCCAACCCUGGAGCCUGACAUACAGUAAGCUCCUCUGUUACCACAAGUGGGAGUGUGUAGCAGACAGGCAAAAAUGACUGGUGUGCACCAGCCAGGUGGAGUCAGGCUGGAGUCAGCUCCACGGAAACCAGAACCACACGAGUCAAAAUUAUGAGGGUGCAAGGAAGCCAGAAAAAUCUGAGGAAACCUGUCUGCUGAGAGAGGUAGAAACAUAUAGCAUAUGCUCAGAAACGAGCAGAGCUGGGGGGUGAUGCAACCAUGUGACAGAUGGAACUACAGCUAAUCUUCCUGUUUCAGUCUCAUCCCAGGGUGUCCUCUCUGUGCUGAUUCUUGCACUUUAGUGCCCCCAGAGAGUGCCUUUUGUUCAUAGAUCUCCUUUUCUUUUUUCUUUUUUUAAAUUGAGUAUAGUUGAUUUACCCAUAUUAUGUUAGUUUCAGGUGUACAAUUAGUGGUUCAAUAUUUUUAUACAUUAUACUCCAUCUAAAGUUAUUACAAAGUAAUGGCUAUAUUUUCUUGUGUUAUACAAUAUAUCCUUGUUGUUCAUUUGCUUUACACAUAGUAGUUGGUAUCUUUUACUCCUCUACCCCACUUGUAACUACUAGUUUGUUCUCUAUAUCUGGGAGUCUGUUUCUGUUUUGUUGUAUUCAUUUGUUUUACUUUUUAGGUUCCACAAAUAAGUGACAACAUAUGGUAUUUGUCUUUGUCUGACUUAUUUCACUAAGCAUAUUACCCUGUGGGUCCACCCACACUGUUGCAAAUGGCAGUGUUUUAUUCUUUUUAAGACUAAUAUUCCAUUUUAUAUACAUGCCACAUCUUAUGUAUCAUUCAUCUGUUGAUGGUCACUUAGGUUGCUUUCCUCAGACUACCUCUUUUUCUACUUGAGCUUGUGUAGGUAGUUUUUGAUUUAUGCUCCAGGAAUAAAGAAGGCACAUUUUGUCGGAAGUCUCUUGGUAUCUACUUAUCUCUCAGGAUUGAGCAUGGCAGACAAGGUACAAAAAGUGAAAAUGCAAGUAUGUGGUAUAAAGAGGCACUAACUAGAAUCAUGUGGUGCAUUGUGCAUACUUUCAUUUAAUCUGUAUUGUGAGGGAGGUACCAUCACCGAGGUCGACCAGAGGGUAAGUACAGUCCAUCCUCACUAUCUGUGGAUUCCGUAUUUGCAAAUUUGCCUACUCACUAAAAUUUAUUUGUAACCCCAAAUCACUACUCUCAGCACUUUAGUUAUUCACAGACAGUGCAGAGCAGUGAAAAAACAUGAGUUGUCCUAGGUGCAUAUUCCCAGCUGAAGCAAACAAGACAACUGCUCUCCCUUCUUGUUUCAGAUUACACUGUAAACAAGUUUUCCUUUUUUUUUUUUUUUUUUUUUUGUC